rnacentral:tRNA from 1 species
GGGGGAUUAGCUCAGCUGGAAGAGCGCCGCCUUUGCAAGGCGGAGGUCGUCGGUUCGAACCCGUCAUCCUCCA